UACGUAGGUGACAAGCGUUGUCCGGAUUUACUGGGCGUAAAGAGCGCGCAGGCGGUCGUUUCAAGUCGAGUGUGAAAGCCCCCGGCUCAACUGGGGAGGGUCACUCGAUACUGAUCGACUUGAAGGCAGGAGAGGGUAGUGGAAUUCCCGGUGUAGUGGUGAAAUGCGUAGAUAUCGGGAGGAACACCGGUGGCGAAGGCGGCAUCCUGGACCGGUAUUGACGCUGAUGCGCGAAAGCCAGGGGAGCCAAAGCGG
rnacentral:rRNA from 1 species